rnacentral:lncRNA from 1 species
UCUAAUCAAAUGAAAAGAAAUGGUGAAAAAUUGGAGGAUGUAAGAAUUAUGGAGAAAAUAUUGCGGUCACUAACCCCAAAGUUUGAGCACAUUGUGGUGACGAUCGAAGAAACUAAAAAUUUGGAGGAGAUGACAAUCGAUCUCUUGUUGGGGUCGUUGCAAGCAUAUGAGGAGAAGCAAAAGAAGAAGCAAGAAAUUUCAGAGCAACUUUUAAAGUUGCAAGUAAGCUCAAAAGAUAAAGAAGAAAGUUCGAGCAACACCCGCGGACAAUACAAAGGAGGACGUGGUCAAGGUCAAGAUCGAGGCAGAGGCCGUGGACGUGGACGUGGACGAGGACGAGGAGGCUUCGUCAAUAGUGGUGAAAGAAAUGAGUUUACUAGUGGUCGGGGGAGGAGCAACCCGCAGUCGAGGUACGAUAAAUCCUCAAUAAAGUGUUAUAAUUGCCAUAAAUUUGGGCACUAUGCUUCCGAGUGCAGAAGUGAAAAAGUAAGGAUUGAAGAAAGGGCCAAUUAUGCCGAGAACACGAGCGAAGCAAAUGGUAGUGUGCUUCUGGCAUAUAAAGGAGAAGCUGGAAGAGAUGACACGUGGUACCUCGACACUGGUGCUAGCAAUCACAUGUGCGGGAAGAGAAAUAUGUUCGUGGAGCUCGAUGAGUCGGUAAGUGGCAACGUCUCAUUUGGUGAUGAAUCUAAAAUUCCAGUUAAAGGAAAAGGAAAAAUUUUAAUCCGCUUGAAGAAUGGAAGUCAUGAAUUUAUUUCCAAUNGGCACUAUGCUUCCGAGUGCAGAAGUGAAAAAGUAAGGAUUGAAGAGAAGGCCAAUUACGCCGAAAGUACAAAUCAAGAUAUUGGUAGUGUGCUUCUGGCAUAUAAAGGAGAAGCUGGAAGACAAGAUGACACGUGGUACCUUGACACUGGUGCUAGCAAUCACAUGUGCGGGAAGAGAAGCAUGUUCGUGGAGCUUGAUGAGUCGGUAAGUGGCAACAUCUCAUUUGGUGAUGAAUCUAAAAUUCCAGUUAAAGGAAAAGGGAAAAUUUUAAUUCGCUUGAAGAAUGGAAAUCAUAAAUUUAUUUCCAACGUUUAUUAUGUGCCCAAUAUGAAAAAUAAUAUCUUGAGUUUGGGACAACUCUUAGAGAAAGGUUAUGAUAUUCGCAUGAGAGAUUAUAACCUUUCAAUAAGAGAUGGCAAAAAUAAUCUUAUUGCCAAGGUGCCAAUGUCUAAAAAUAGAAUGUUCUUAUUGAAUAUUCAAAAUGACAUGGCAAAAUGCUUGAAAGCUUGCUAUAAAGAUCCGUCUUGGUUAUGGCACCUACGGUUUGGGCACUUAAAUUUUGGCGGCUUGGAGUUGUUAUCAAAGAAAGAGAUGGUAAGAGGUUUACCAUCCAUCAAACAUCCCGAUCAACUCUGCGAAGGUUGUCUACUCGGGAAGCAGUUCAGAAAGCCAUUUCCAAAGGAGUCAAGCUCAAGAGCUCAAAAGCCACUGGAGUUGAUUCAUGCUGACGCGUGUGGGCCAAUAAAUCCAAGCUCCCUGGGUAAAAAUAAUUAUUUUCUGCUAUUCAUUGAUGAUUUUUCUAGAAAAACGUGGGUAUAUUUCUUGAAGCAGAAAUCAGAAGUAUUUGAUGCAUUCAAGAAAUUCAAAGCUGUCGUCGAGAAGGAGAGCGGACGACAAAUCAAGGCCCUGAGGUCCGAUCGAGGUGGAGAAUUCACGUCAAGGGAGUUUCUAGAAUUUUGCGAAGCAAAUGGAAUUCGGCGGCCCCUGACAGUUCCGAGAUCCCCCCAACAAAAUGGAGUGGCGGAAAGAAAAAAUAGGACAAUCAUGGAGAUGGCGAGGAGCAUGCUAAAGACGAAGAAUCUGCCUAAAGAGUUUUGGGCCGAAGCAGUGGCGUGCGCGGUGUACCUAUCCAACCGAUCGCCGACAAGGAGCGUGUGGGGAAUGACUCCACAAGAAGCCUGGAGCGGGAGAAAGCCAGGAAUUUCCCACCUAAAGGUAUUUGGGAGCAAAGCCUACGUGCAUGUACCAGAUGAGAGAAGGAAGAAGCUCGAUGAUAAAAGUGAAGCAUUCAUCUUUAUCGGGUACGACUCUAACUCUAAAGGCUAUAAGUUAUAUAAUCCAAAUACCAAGAAAACAGUGAUAAGUCGAGAUGUGGAGUUCGACGAAGAAGGAGUAUGGGAUUUCAGCUCCAACGGUGACUUCACCUACAUCCCACAGUUAGAAGAACAAAGUGCAGAAGAGCAAAUUGGAGAAGUCCAACAAGAGCCAGUGACUCCACCAGCUUCACCAGUGCCAGUCACUGAAGACUCGCCACCAUCUUUCUUAAAUGAAAGAGCCACACCACGAGCAAGGAGUUUGGGCGAGAUAUAUGAGGAUACUGAAAGGUUAGAAGAUCUUACCUUAUUUUGCCUAUUUGCUGACUGUGAACCUGUUAGCUUUGAAGAAGCAGCAGAUAGUGAAAAUUGGCGAAUCGCGAUGGAUGAAGAAAUCAAGGCUAUAAAGAAGAAUGAUACGUGGGAGCUCGUGACACUACCGAAAGGGCACAAAGCUAUUGGUGUCAAGUGGGUGUAUAAAGUUAAGAAGAAUUCCAAGGGUGAAGUUGAAAGAUAUAAAGCAAGGCUGGUUGCAAAAGGAUAUAGCCAAAGAGCUGGAAUCGAUUAUGAUGAGGUAUUUGCUCCUGUCGCUCGCUUAGAAACUAUCAGACUAAUACUCUCUCUUGCAGCCCAAAAUAGAUGGAAGAUUUAUCAAAUGGAUGUCAAAUCAGCCUUCUUGAAUGGGUAUAUAGACAAAGAAGUCUAUAUCAAGCAGCCAAUGGGCUACGAGGUGAAAGGGCAAGAAGAUAAAGUCUUGAAGUUAAAGAAGGCCCUAUACGGACUAAAGCAAGCACCAAGGGCAUGGAAUAGCAGGAUCGAUAAGUACUUGGAGGAGAAUGGCUUCACCAAAUGCCCUCACGAGCAUGCCCUCUACGUUAAAGCCAAUGGAGGAGAAGUCUUAAUUGUGUGCUUGUAUGUAGAUGAUUUGAUUUUCACAGGAAAUAAUCCAAAGAUGAUUGAGGAGUUCAAGAAGGCCAUGUCAAAGGAGUUCGAGAUGACAGACAUUGGGCUGAUGGCGUACUACCUCGGCGUGGAAGUCAAGCAACUCGAAGAUGGGAUCUUCAUCACACAAGAAGGAUAUGCCAAGGAAAUCCUCAAGAAGUUCAAGAUGGAGGGCUGCAAAGCAAUCAACACGCCAGUGGAAUGCGGGAUCAAAUUAUCCAAGAAUGAUGGAGGAGAAAAAGUGAACCCGACAUUGUUCAAGAGCUUGGUUGGAAGUUUACGGUACUUAACUUGCACAAGGCCGGAUAUUCUUUAUGCGACAGGACUCGUAAGUCGCUAUAUGGAAAAUCCAACCACUACGCAUUUUAAGGCGGCAAAGAGAAUUCUUCGCUACCUCAAAGGUACGCUCAACUAUGGCCUGUUCUAUUCAAGUACUGAUGAUUAUAAGCUUGUUGGGUAUAGUGAUAGCGAUUGGGCCGGAGACAAUGACGAUCGCAAGAGUACAAGCGGUUUCGUAUUUUUCAUGGGAGACACUGCUUUCACCUGGAUGUCAAAAAAGCAACCCAUAGUCACGCUAUCAACGUGUGAAGCUGAAUAUGUGGCUGCUACAUCCAGUGUUUGCCAUGCAGUUUGGCUACGGAGUUUACUGGAAGAACUCGGAUGGCCACAAAAGGAGCCAACAACGAUUUGCGUGGAUAAUAAGUCAGCAAUCGCGCUCUCAAAGAAUCCAGUGUUUCAUAAUCGAAGCAAGCAUAUUGACACCCGCUUCCACUACAUCAGAGAAUGCAUUGAGAAAAAGGAAGUUCAAGUGGAGUAUGUAAAAUCACAGGAUCAAGUUGCCGAUAUUUUUACCAAGCCGCUCAAAUUUGAAGAUUUCGUCAAGAUCAGAGUUUUGCUCGGAAUGACAAAUCAAGUUUAAGGGGGAGUGUUGGAAUAAUAAAUUAUUAAACUUGAUUUGUAGAAGAAAAAUCUAGAAUCAAAUAAAGUAAAAGAAAACAAAAGAAAAUAAU